AGAAAGACUGCAUAAAUCGAAAAUAAACGAGUUACUUUCAACAUUAAAGUCGAUGAGGUAGAAGAAGAAUUGAAGAGAUGAGAGACUCAGACUCUCAACUUACGUGCUACUUAUGUUUUGAUUAACAGUUAUGGACAAAGUAAAAUAGCAUUUGUUUACCUUUGGGAGCUUAUGUGAAACGCGUCUUCCGCGACCAGUAUCUAAGAAAACAAUAAGGCAAUGGAUACAAUCCGCCAUCAAUUUUAGCAUCUCCACAGUAAGCUCCGACCUGUUUGUUUUCUCUAUAAAUAAAAAAUAGCUUCCAGGUGAAGGUUUGAUCAGCCUAAAUUUAAAGUGAUCUUAAGGUGUUGUCGUAUGUGUGCCUCUUCUUUGGACUGUCUUCUUUCACGUGUGUGUGAAUGGAGAUUUCAACAUCAAUUUGAUACUAUAUGAGUCCAAAAGAUAUUUAAGAUA